CAUCAUGUGGCCUAAUGGACAAGGCGUCUGACUUCGGAUCAGAAGAUUGAGGGUUCAAGUCCCUUCAUGGUUGGA
rnacentral:tRNA from 1 species